UGAAAAAGAGACCUAACCCUCAUGAUGAGGAUGGGAGUUCAGAUAUAGAUGAGCCCAGGAACAAGCUUGGUUAUGAGGCCCUCACAGAAGAAGAGGAGAAGGAAUCGAACCAAGACUUUGGUGGCAAUUGAUGGAGGUUCUGACCUCUUCUCCCCCAAAAAGAGACCUAACCCUCACAAUGAAGAUGGGAGUUCAGAUAUAGAUGG